GACGAACCGUGCGAACGUUGUUCGGAAUCACUGGGCUUAAAGGGCGCGUAGGCGGCUUACCAAGUCCGGGGUGAAAGCUUUCGGCUCAACCGGAAAAGUGCCUUGGAUACUGGUAGGCUUGAGGGAGGUAGGGGCAUGCGGAACUGUGGGUGGAGCGGUGAAAUGCGUUGAUAUCCACAGGAACUCCGGUGGCGAAGGCGGCACGCUGGACCCCAUCUGACGCUGAGGCGCGAAAGCCAGGGGAGCGAACGGG
rnacentral:rRNA from 1 species